GUUAGCGUGUUACUUAUGCAACCAGGAGCUCCCAGAUUCGUCAUCAGAAUUAUUUAUUCCCCGGAGGUGGAGGCAGCAGUCAACCGCCCGGUCAAUUUGCAUCUGCAGGCCUCCCACACCUACCUCUCUCUGGGCUACUAUUUCGAUCGCGACGAUGUGGCUCUGGAAGGCAUGGGCCACUUUUCCCGCGAAUUGGCUGAUGACAAGCGCGAGGGCGCAGAGCAUCUCUUGAAGAUGCAAAAACCAGCGAGGCGGGCGCGCUCUCUUCCAGGACGAGAGAAGAUGAGUGGGGUCCCACCCAGGACGCAAUGGAAGCCCCCGUGGCCCUGGAGAAGAGCCCGAACCAGGCUCUUCUGGAUCUUCAUGCCCUGGGUUGUACCCGCACAGACCCCCAUCCCUGUGACUUCCUGGAGAAUCACUUCCUAGAUGAGGAAGUGAAACUCAUCAAGAAGAUGGGCGACCACCUGACCAACCUCCGCAGGCUGGCCGGCCCCCAGGCUGGGCUGGGCGACCAAGUCUUCGAAAGGCUCACUCUCAAGGCCGCCAAGCCCAGCGACCACUGAGGAGCCCC